rnacentral:hammerhead_ribozyme from 1 species
AUCCAAUUGAUGAGUUCCAAAUGGAACGAAACGCGCGUGUUACAU